rnacentral:lncRNA from 1 species
AUUACAGAGUUUUCCUUUUCUUUAACAUUGGACGAAAUGCCAUUUUACACUUGCAGGGCAGUUCAUGGUUUAUCAUCCCCAUUACAAAUUUUUCGUUUAUUUUAAUGUUGCAGCUUUUGUUAAAUAUCUCCAUCUCGACUGUCAUUCAAUUUUUUUUAAGCAAUGACAUUUUUCAUGCUUUGCAAACAACAAAUUAAAUAGGUCGAAUUGGAAAAUUUUGAAGAUGACAUUUAACAGUGGAUCACCUGGAUUCGAUAGUGUCGACGAAGACAUGCUGUUCGAAAGUGCUACCGGAUUCAGUUCGGAGGUGCUACCGGAUUCGAUGAACUGGCCGACAGGAAUGAAGGCCCAAGAGAGAGGGGAAUGAAGGAAAAUGAGGAGGGAAAAUACUAACUUCCAAUUUGGAGGAGGAAAGAUUGCACCAGUGGUCUGCCAAAUUUGUCCCAUUUUUCAAACAAUUUCUACUGUCAUUUGAUGUGAAGAUUAUUAAUUUUUUAUUACCUGAACAGCAUUAUUGUUCUUCCAUUACCAGUCCCGAAUUGAUUGAUUGGAGAUAUAAACCAAAAUUCGAAACCCAGAUAUUCAAAUCACGAAGCCCAUUAAUUUUCGUGGACUCUCCAUCAGCACUAAUUACACUGGUAUGUAUUCUUUGAAUCCCAUUGACGAAAUGGUCUGUAAUUCACAAUUCUAUGCAGUAACGCAAUUUUGAUUACUCUAAUUUCAGAUUUUAUGUGGUGAUUUGUUUAACUGAAAAAGGGAGAUGAAGUUUUCGCAAAAUUAGAAAAAAAAAGCUCGAUUAUCUUAUGCCCAAAAUUGCUCCUGAAUAUUUGUCAAUAUUUAUGCUUAUUAAUCUAGCGAUUACGAAUCAAAAUCCUUUUUAUUGGGUAGCAUUAAAUUUUUUAUAUGAUUAUAGUUAUGGGGGUAAUCAAAAUCUAACUGUUUGAUGGAGCAUAAGUUUAUCCAAAAUUGGGUUCUUGACUGCAUUACAGUAUUUAUGAAUUCUGAUUAGAAGCUGCUAAGUAAAGGACAAGUUUGUUAAAGGUUAUAGCCUGAAAUAAUCAGCCUACAAAGUUGCAUAUAUAUGAGGUCAUCUCGUUCAGCUCAUCCCAAGUCGUCAAUUGUACUCUAGUAUGGGGAUGGCUAAUCACUCAUUAUCCCGUGUGUGAGUUAAAGAAUAUGUUAUUCAAAGCCAAUGGUAGGAAAUUACAAAAAUUUCCCCCUUUUUUUAAGUCUGUCGAAAACAUAGAUAGAAACCACUAGGAACUCCUUGAGCUAACACGUUCAUGCAUUAUGACCUACUGUGCAUAGAAGCUAUCCCUUCUUGGCUAUGAAUACCACUUUGGCUACCAUGCUUCAGGUAGGCAAGCACUCAUAAUCAAGUUUAAACUCUGUCAGUUUGAUUUUUACUAUGAAUCCAAGCAUUGACUAAGGCAACAGAGUGGUGCUUGGCCAUCACCUCUUUUCCUGUGGAAGGCUGAGCAGACUUGAAUAUGCAUUCUCCUGCAGAACUAAACUUGAUUCCAACUCCCUGUUCUCAUGUAAGUAUCAACAAUUUCUGAUGUCUACAUAAGGUGCAGGAUGUUUAAAGUAGUGGUCUUUGUGCUCAAAUGAAAAUAAACAGAAAAAAUAGAAAGCUCAAAUACACUCAGAAGCUGAGUUUAUUGAAAAGGAAGCUUUAGAUUUUAUUUACAUAAUCAUUAAACUUAACACUAUUGUCAUAUUCCAGAAAAAAUGCUAAUUUUGAUUUCUUCUGGAUGACAACUACUGAAAUAUGUUCUUUUCAACUAUGUUAUGCCGUGGUCAGCUGCAAUAUAAUUACUUUUGUUUCUUGAAAAUAUGCAACUUUUGGAAUAUUAGGAUUCAGAAACAAAGAUGCUGGUCACAAUGAAAACAAUUGGAACGUUCUGUACUCUACAGAAGAGAGAAGGCUCUAUGAUUAAUUUUGUGACUUAGAAGAUGAGGAAUUUUUUAAAACAGCCAUCUCAGCAUGGUCAAAGUGCAAAUGAUCAUCUUUCAAAUUUGCAGUUUAAAAGGACUACUAUAUAGAUCACAAGAUUAAUUUAACCUUGUUAAAAAAUGGCCACCGUCAAAGUAGAGAAUCAACUGUUCAACCUCUCUAGAACUCAAAUAAAUUAUGCUCCUUAGUUGGCAAGUUGAUCGAGUUUGGAAAGUAGGGCAAAAUUCAAAUCGGUCGCUCUCCUUUAUUGAAUUUUUUAGCAGAUCAGUGGAUAUCCUCUUCAUUGUCUAGCACACGAAAAAGGAGGAAAAGAAAUUUCAACUUUUUGAUUCUUUUCCAGGAUGUCUCCUGUUGUGAACUACUCUCAUAUAUCUGAUUGAUGGGAAUGGUCAUAUAUCCUUCAAACUCAAAUCGGCCAACUGUUUUCGGCAAUCCUAUUCAUUCUUUUUGUGUGUGUGUGUUAAAAGCAACAGCGUGUUCCCUUAAAUGAAAAGCCUUUAUUCUUCUUCUUGGAGAGUUGAUACCAAACUUUCUGCAGUCUACGGUCGAGUUUAUUUUCUUUACAACUUAAAAGAACAUUAACAUAUGGUUUUUUUACUGUUCAUUUAUUAUAGAAUGUAACAAGGCACGCAUAUGGUUACCAAUGGAUAGAAUCCUAUCUAAGCUCCUCAUCUGGCUUUGUUACUCAUUAGCCUUUUUCAUUCAUCUUCAUGCAUUGAGUUCUCACUGCAAAAUCUGACCACAAAACAUUUAUUUCAGUUGUCUCCUGUGCGAAUUGAGCAAGUUUAGCAUGGCAGAUUUGCCACGUUAUUUGAUAGCUUGCUUGCAAACUGGGAAACUGGCUAUGCUAGCAAUUCUGGUUUCAGGGGGAAUUGUGUUGCAGAUACUGGUCAGUUUUGCUCUGUUUAGUGAAUUUCCUUCACUUCAUUUAGUUGCAACUGUAUACUGUUAUCCUGUUAAAGUCAUUUUUCUGAUUAGUUCUUUUAUGAUUUUGCAGGCAUGUGCUUUGUACAACAAUUGGUGGCCAAUGUUAACAGGUAGUUUAUAUGCAGAUUUCUUUGGCUUUUCCAUUGUUUCAAGCAGAAAAUAUGGUUCAAUUGUUAAAAAAUAUUCCUAAAUUCAUCUGAAAGCAUUCAAGCACUACACUGAAUAUUAAAUUAUGGACAUUUCACCAAUAAGCCUAUUGCAAACUUAACCAGUUUCACCAAAAAUGUAAUCUAGGUUAGCAAGAAAAUGUGUAAAUAUAAGCGACAAUACAUAAAACAUUGGCAAAAUAGUGUUAUGUUUCAUUAAUUCAAUAUUUAUUGGGCUUUUAAAAGCAGAGCUUCAACCUUUAAAUGAUUUGAAAUUUGCAUGACAACGCUCUGGUUUUUUCUGAAACCACUUUAUAUCAAAAUGAUUAUAUAUGCAUUUACUUUGAACAUACUUUUGAAGAAUGUACUCUGGUUUGAAGGUCAAAUGCAACAAUAUGCAUUUUCUCUGAUACAUUAAUUUGCGGAUCUCAAUGAGGAGGUCUAAACGGAUCGAAAUGGUGCUCCAAGUUUCGGCCGAGAAAUGGUGAAAAUAUUGGGAUUUGUGUUUUGACAUGUUACUUUUUUCAUUUAAGAUCGUGUAACUACAUGUAAAACAUGUGACGCAGCGCGAAACAAGGAAUUCAAGCCAAAACCUUAAGAACAAGAAAUUUGGAACCCACCAAAUAAUAAAGAAAAUAAAUUUACUAAUUUUAUUAAUGAAAAAAAAAAGCCCUUAUUUAUAAGAGUUUAUAUGGAAACGUAGUUUAGAAUAACUAAAAGUAAUGAAAAAGAAGUUUAAACAAACUAAAAUUGCAAAAAAACCAAAAUAGACGAAUUGCAAAAGUAGCUCCAAAAUUUUAAAAAUCAGUUUUCAAGGCCUAAACGUACUUGAAUGGCCGAAAUUCGUCGUACAUCAUAGCAUAGCGGUGAGUAUUGUUCCUCUCGUCGUUCUUCUUCCAAAAUAGUCUUAUGGGCCUGAUCUGGAAUUAAGAUGAUGUUUUAUUUCUACUAGUGUUUCUUUCCCUAAUAUGACCAAUAUGUCCUACAUCAACAUGAAAUAAUUACCAAAACUCGAUUUAUUCCAUAACCUGUAUAUCUGUAACAUCAUGUUGAAAAGACCAUAAGAGUAAAAUAUUAAAUUGCAACAAACAAAAAUUUAAAUCCUAACUAUAAGUAACAUACUAAUAAAUGAACUUUUAAAGCUUCGUAAUCUGAUGUCUGGGCUCUGAUGGCAAUUAUCAACAUCCUGACUCAAGUGAUUAUGCAAAUGUAGAAAUUAGCUAAGUAUAGAUUAGCCUAUAAAUACACUCAGUAUGAAUCGUGCCAAUAAUUUUCAUAAUUUAAUAAUCCAACACAUCUGAAGUGAAAUGUUGAUGAAGAAACUGACCAUUUCAAUCUUAGAUAGGGCACCCCGCCUAAGUUUCAAUGUAGAUCUAUGUACCAAGUGGUUUUAGCCAUCAUAAUCAUCUCAAUCUCUGAAGAAUAUAUCAAAAUGAUUAUAUAUGCAUUUGUACAUAUUUUUAAUAAUUAAGUUGGUUGGCAAAAAUAGUACUCUGGUUUCUGAUAAUCAUAUUCUUGCAUUGUUCCUCUGCAGUAUUAAUGUAUGUUCUUCUACCUAUGCCUCUGAUUUUCUUUGCUGGGUAGCAAGUAGGUAAAGCUUUCUCCUUCAAAACUGAUCGUUUUAUUUUUUCUAGAAUCAUAAAAGUUAUGGCAUCAUUCUCAGUUUAAUGAAAAUUGUCUAUAUGACUAUAUAUAUAUGUAUUUCGACCUCAUACUUGCGUUUUUUACAAUCACACCAAGCAACAGUUGGGUUGAUGCGACAAAGUUCUUGACUGGAGCUUCAGCUGUUGGCAGUAUUGCUAUACCAAUUAUUUUAAAGCAUGCUGGCGUAAUUGGUUGGGGAGCCAUGGCAAUGGAACUCUCAUCGUUUUUCAUACUUGUCAUGGCCAUUUUGUGUUACCUUGGAACAAGCAAUGACGAUGGAUACAGUACAUUUUGAAGUACAAAACCUUUAUUUGGGAUAAGGAGGUUUCUUUUGCCAGCGAGUGUUGUUUGCUUGAGCAUGUGCUCCUGUGAUUGUGAUUUGUAUAUGCAUGUGUUUACAUUCAUAGAUUGUUCGUUAUCAAAAGAUGUUGAAGUGGUUAUCCACUAGAUAACAGCGAUGAAUGUACUUUGAUUGGAUACUCGAAAUUUGUUUAUAAAAUGAAGCCUUUUGACAUUACUUAUAGAAACU